UUGGGUUACGGUAGCUCGAUUUCAGUGCAAACACUGAAUCUGACGACAAAAUGCAGAAA
ensembl:ncRNA Y104H12D.6 ncRNA